CGGGACGGGUGAGUAACGCGUGGGUAACCUGCCAUAUACAGGGGGAUAACAGCGAGAAAUUGCUGCUAAAACCGCAUAAGCGCACGGAGUCGCAUGACUCAGUGUGAAAAACUCCGGUGGUAUAUGAUGGACCCGCGUCUGAUUAGCCAGUUGGCAGGGUAACGGCCUACCAAAGCGACGAUCAGUAGCCGGCCUGAGAGGGUGGACGGCCACAUUGGGACUGAGACACGGCCCAAACUCCUACGGAAGGCAGCAG
rnacentral:rRNA from 1 species